rnacentral:rRNA from 1 species
UACGUAGGGGGCUAGCGUUGUCCGGAAUCAUUGGGCGUAAAGCGCGUGUAGGCGGUCCGGUAAGUCCGCUGUGAAAGUCGGGGGCUCAACCCUCGAAUGCCGGUGGAUACUGUCGGGCUAGAGUGCGGAAGAGGCGAGUGGAAUUCCUGGUGUAGCGGUGGAAUGCGCAGAUAUCAGGAGGAACACCAAUUGCGAAGGCAGCUCGCUGGGACGUAACUGACGCUGAGGCGCGAAAGCGUGGGGAGCAAACAGG